UAUCUGGCAGAGGCCGCAGUGGGUGGUGGGAUGCUGGCGGGGCCUGGAGGCAGAGGCCGGUGGGAAGUGGGAGCUGUGGUCAUGGAGGGAGGGCUGGGAGCCCAGCAGUCGGCUCCGUGAGCCUUCGCCGGCUGGGCCAGCCUCCUGGGAGUCUAGGGCGUAGGAGUUCUAGGAUUUUCCAAAUGGGGCUUAGGACUCCUGCCUGGGUCUGGUGUGAGCCCUGGCUCCGGCCUUACUCGCCUUUCCCCGCAAGGACGGCUUCUCUGUCUUCCUUGGAGUUGGUGGGGUUUGCACCGUUAUUUUUGACGGUCCCCUGUGUGUAAGCACUGGUUGUCCUGCGCAGGGCGCCGUGCAGAGCGCCAUGAGGCAGAAGGGGGGGGCGGGUUUAGAGAUGCUUGCGAUGUGGUCCUUACCUACGUGACGCGUUGGAGGUUGAGGUGAAAAAUCUGGCUUUGAUAACUUCAUGGAGUACUACGUUAUUUCAAUCCUGAAUCUGGUUCAGUUCUCUUAUUGACUUAUUAUAUUAAAAAUGUUUUUUAAAUUGA